rnacentral:rRNA from 1 species
UACGUAGGCAGCAAGCGUUGUUCGGAGUUACUGGGCGUAAAGAGUGCGUAGGCGGUUUUUUAAGUUUGGUGUGAAAUCUCCCGGCUUAACUGGGAGGGUGCGCCGAAAACUGGAAGGCUCGAGGAUGGGAGAGGCAUGCGGAAUUCCUGGUGUAGCGGUGAAAUGCGUAGAUAUCUGGAGGAACACCGGUGGCGAAGGCGGCAUCCUGGACCAACACUGACGCUGAGUGAGCGAAAGCCAGGGGAGCAAACGGG